AGUCAAAGUCUGAAACUAAGAUGGUCUCGCUUAUAAAAGGUGAAGUCCAGCUGGUUAUACCCAAUGUGGUAUUGAUUCCCACUGAAGAUGAGGUCCAACAGGCCAUAAAUCGACUAGUCGACUUGGUGUUGGAAAUUAGCAAGGGCAUUGCAUGGCAGUGGGAGUACAGUCAAAAUGACACAAAGAACAAAAGCGGAGAAAAAGAGAAUUUCUAUCACA